AUUGAACGCUGGCGGCAUGCUUUACACGUGCAAGUCGGACGGCAGCACAGAGAAGCUUGCUUCUUGGGUGGCGAGUGGCGAACGGGUGAGUAACAUAUCGGAACGUACCGGGCAGUGGGGGAUAACUAAUCGAAAGAUUAGCUAAUACCGCAUAUUUUCUGAGGAAGAAAGCAGGGGACCAUUUGGCCUUGCGCUGUUUGAGCGGCCGAUAUCUGAUUAGCUAGUUGGUGGGGUAAAGGCCUACCAAGGCGACGAUCAGUAGCGGGUCUGAGAGGAUGAUCCGCCACACUGGGACUGAGACACGGCCCAGACUCCUACGGGAGGCAGCAGUGGGGAAUUUUGGACAAUGGGCGCAAG
rnacentral:rRNA from 1 species